rnacentral:rRNA from 1 species
AACGAACGCUGGCGGCAGGCUUAACACAUGCAAGUCGAGCGCCCCGCCAGGGGGGCGGCAGACGGGUGAGUAACGCGUGGGAACGUACUUUUUGGUUCGGAACAACUCUGGGAGACUGGGGUUACUACCGGAUAAGCCCUCACGGGGAAAGAUAUAUCUCCAAAAGAUCGGCUCGCGACUGAUUAGCUGGUUUGUGAGGUAUCGGCUCACCAAGGCGACGGUCAGUAGCUGGUCUGAGAGGAUGGUCAGCCACACUGGGGCUGGGACAAGGGCCGGACUCCUCCGGAAGGGAGCAAGGGUGAAUAUGGAACAAUGGGCGAGAGACUGAGGCAGCCGGGCCGCGAGAGUGAUGAAGGAGUUAGGGUUGUAAGUGUCAGUUGUCCGGCAAGAUAAUACGUGUCCUGGAAAGAUAGGCACGGCUAACUAUCGU